CUGACCGUAAACGAUGCCAACUAGCGAUCCGCCGGCGGCUGCAAGGCCCUGGUGGGGAGCUUCCCGGAAACGAAAGUCUUCCGGUUCCGGGGGAAGUAUGGUUGCAAAGCUGAAACUUAAAGGAAUUGACGGAAGGGCACCACCAGGAGUGGAGCCUGCGGCUUAAUUUGACUCAACACGGGAAAACUCACCCGGCCCGGACACCGUGAGGAUUGACAGAUUGAUAGCUUUUUCAUGAUUCGGUGGUUGGUGGUGCAUGGCCGUUCUUAGUUCGUGGAUCGAUUUGUCUGGUUUAUUCCGAUAACGAGCGAGACUCCAGCCUACUAAAUAGUGCGGGCGUUGCUUCUGCGCCCUUUGCACUUCUUAGAGGGAUUGGCUGCGUCUAGCGGCACGAAACGGAGCAAUAACAGGUCUGUGAUGCCCUUAGAUGUCCGGGGCUGCACGCGCGCUACACUGGCAAAGGCAGCGUGCUUGUCCUGCGCCGAAAGGCGUCGGUAAACCCUUGAAAAUUUGCCGUGAUUGGGAUCGGAAAUUGCAAUUAUUUUCCGUGAACGAGGAAUUCCUAGUAAGUGCGAGUCAUCAGCUCGCGUUG
rnacentral:rRNA from 1 species